GACGAACGCUGGCGGCGUGCUUAACACAUGCAAGUCGAACGGUGAUGCUCCAGCUUGCUGGAGUGGAUCAGUGGCGAACGGGUGAGUAACACGUGAGCAACCUGCCCCAGACUCUGGAAUAAGCGCUGGAAACGGCGUCUAAUACUGGAUACGACACUGGCCCGCAUGGGCAUGGUUUUGAAAGUUUUUCGGUUUGGGAUGGGCUCGCGGCCUAUCAGCUUGUUGGUGAGGUAAUGGCUCACCAAGGCGACGACGGGUAGCCGGCCUGAGAGGGCGACCGGCCACACUGGGACUGAGACACGGCCCAGACUCCUACGGGAGGCAGCAGUGGGGAAUAGUGCACAAUGGGCGAAAGCCUGAUGCAGCGACGCCGCGUGAGGGAUGACGGCCUUCGGGUUGUAAACCUCUUUCAGCAGGGAAGAAGCGAAAGUGACGGUACCUGCAGAAGAAGCACCGGCUAACUACGUG
rnacentral:rRNA from 1 species